UGCUCUGUGGCGCAAUUGGUUAGCGCGUCUGACUGUUACCUUCCUUGGGACACGAGUUUCAUUCGGAAUCAGGAGGCUGUGAGUUCGAGUCUCACCGGAGCAG